rnacentral:rRNA from 1 species
AUUGAACGCUGGCGGAAUGCUUUACACAUGCAAGUCGAACGGUAGAGGGGGCAACCCCUUGAGAGUGGCGAACGGGUGAGUAAUAUAUCGGAACGUGCCCAGUCGUGGGGAUAACGUAGCGAAAGCUACGCUAAUACCGCAUACGAUCUAUGGAUGAAAGCGGGGGAUCGCAAGACCUCGCGCGAUUGGAGCGGCCGAUAUCAGAUUAGGUAGUUGGUGAGGUAAAGGCUCACCAAGCCGACGAUCUGUAGCUGGUCUGAGAGGACGACCAGCCACACUGGGACUGAGACACGGCCCAGACUCCUACGGGAGGCAGCAGUGGGGAAUUUUGGACAAUGGGCGCAAGCCUGAUCCAGCAAUGCCGCGUGCAGGAUGACGGUCCUAUGGAUUGUAAACUGCUUUUGUACAGGAAGAAACACUCCCUCGUGAGGGAGCUUGACGGUACUGUAAGAAUAAGGAUCGGCUAACUCCGUGCC